AUUGAACGCAGGCGGCAGGCCUAACACAUGCAAGUCGAGCGGGGUUUUCGGACCUAGCGGCGGACGGGUGAGUAAUGCGUAGGAAGCUACCCGAUAGAGGGGGAUACCAGUUGGAAACGACUGUUAAUACCGCAUAAUGUCUACGGACCAAAGUGUGGGACCUUCGGGCCACAUGCUAUCGGAUGCGCCUACGUGGGAUUAGCUAGUUGGUGAGGUAAUGGCUCACCAAGGCGACGAUCUCUAGCUGGUUUGAGAGGAUGAUCAGCCACACUGGAACUGAGACACGGUCCAGACUCCUACGGGAGGCAGCAGUGGGGAAUAUUGGACAAUGGGCGCAAGCCUGAUCCAGCCAUGCCGCGUGUGUGAAGAAGGCCUUCGGGUUGUAAAGCACUUUCAGCGAGGAGGAAGGGUGGUGUGUUAAUAGCACAUCAUUUUGACGUUACUCGCAGAAGAAGCACCGGCUAACUCUGUGCCAGCCGCCGCAGUAACAC
rnacentral:rRNA from 1 species